rnacentral:misc_RNA from 1 species
CUGUACCGUGCCCCCGCCCGCGAUUCACGCCGCGCGCGCGUCUUCCUCCCGCCCGCGAAUCACGCCCCGCGCGCGUCGCCCUCACCGCCGGGUAUCCCGCCCGCGCCAGGCACCCGCCCCCCUCCCCCGGCACGCCGUGAUGCCCGUCGUCGGGUAUCCCGCCCGCGCAAGCCACCCCACAACGCCCGUGCCCCCGCCCGCGAUGCGAGCCGCGCGCGCGUCUUCCUCCCGCCCGCGAUGCACGCCCCGCGCGCGUCGCCCUCGCCGCCAGAGGAGAUUCCGAAGGUCUUGGAAAUCAGCGGCGAGCGCAGCCUCAUCGACAACAUCUUCUCCUACCACGUAUCAAUGGCACCAUCUACACUUAACCAACAUAGGUCGGUUGCAGCCCUACAUCACGUCCCUACAGAGUUUCCUUUCGUGUUAUUUGAUGACGUUGAGAGCAAUGACUUACCAAAAUUUAAGAGUAUCGUAGCCAGAAUCGUUGUUAAGUUCCCUAGACGUCAUGACAGCCAACAUUUUAUUCUACAAGACAUCACUGGGUCAAAAAUAGAAGCAAUUUUAUACCGCGAUAAUGUACAAAGAUUUGACACCUUACUCCAACAAGGAUCUACAUAUACAUUAUAUGGAGUGGCAUUCUGUUUCCCGCCGUAUCCAAAACAUCUUAUGCCAUUUCAUGAGGUCCUCCAACAACCUCAUAAGAGGUUUAUAGAUGUAAUAGGAAUAGUCAUUCAUUUGGCGCCGUUAGAGCACAUCGUUGGAAGGUCGUACAGAGAGGCCAUACUAAUGGAUUCCAGGUGGGAUAUAAUCGUCGUGGGUAUAUGGCCUGAACUGUUGCAAAGAAAUGCUCUACGAUCAUCACACCAUACAACGGUUGCAGAUAAUUCGGCGCUCCAUGAUCCAAAAUCCGAGGAGUGCUUUAAUCAACAAUUAUCUAGAGAGGAGACGGGCUUAUCUGGCAACAGUGGUUCUGGAUGUGUAGUGUGA